AAUAAAGUUUAUUUUUAUACAUAUCAAGCAGAGCUUUAAAACGUUAGCUGUAAUGCUCCACUUGUGAAAAUAAAUCUGUUGGGCAUUUUUUUGGCACUCAGACAACUAUUCUGACGUUACUCUGCCGAACAGGAUACGGUUAAAGGAAAAAUAACACAGAUUCCAUCCUUCCACUCACAUGACCAAGCUGGAUUUUGUCUAUAGGUCAAGCUUUUACCCAGGCUCCACCCCCCUUUGGAGCUCCACCCCCUGUCUACCUCCAACUCUUACCACGGGCGCUGUGCCACCUGGUGGUGUUCUAUCCAUACUUCAUCUCCACUCUCCUCAUGGUGUCCUUAUAUCAGGACAGGACCACAGCUUCACCCAGCAGGACGACCAGAGAACGGCUGGACAUGAGAACGUCACCACUGAGCAUCAUUUCUGAGCAUCACUCAGAUGGUGGUUAUCUAAAUGUAAAUUGUUCAUUUACAUUAAAAAAUGUAAUUCAGAUUUUAUAUAAA